GAUGAACGCUGGCGGCAGGCUUAACACAUGCAAGUCGAACGCCCCGCAAGGGGAGUGGCAGACGGGUGAGUAACGCGUGGGAAUCUACCCAGAUCUUCGGAACAACACAGGGAAACUUGUGCUAAUACCGGAUACGCCCUACGGGGGAAAGAUUUAUCGGAUUUGGAUGAGCCCGCGUUGGAUUAGCUAGUUGGUGAGGUAAUGGCUCACCAAGGCUACGAUCCAUAGCUGGUCUGAGAGGAUGAUCAGCCACACUGGGACUGAGACACGGCCCAGACUCCUACGGGAGGCAGCAGUGGGGAAUAUUGGACAAUGGGCGAAAACCUGAUCCAGCCAUGUCGCGUGAUUGAUGAAGGCCUUAUGGUUGUAAAGCUCUUUUAGUGGGGAAGAUAAUGACGGUACCCACAGAAAAAGCCCCGGCUAACUUCGUGCCAGCCGCCGCGGUAA
rnacentral:rRNA from 1 species